GCUUACGGCAAUACCACCCUGAGCACGCCCUAUCUCGUCUGAUCUCGGAGGCUAAGCAGGGUCGGGCCUGUUUAGUACUUGAAUGGGAGACCGCCUGGGAAUACCAGGUGUUGUAAGCG
ensembl:rRNA 5S_rRNA 5S ribosomal RNA